AGAGUUUGAUCCUGGCUCAGGACAAACGCUGGCGGCGUGCCUAACACAUGCAAGUCGCACGCCCUUCGCAAGAAGGGAGUGGCGGACGGGUGAGUAACACGUGGGAACCUACCCUGAGGUGAGGGAUACCGGCGAGAAAUCGCCGACAAGCCCGCAUAGGCUCUGGUGCAAGCCAGAGCAAAGCCGUAAGGCGCCCCAGGAUGGGCCCGCGGCCGAUUAGCUGGCUGGUGGGGUAACGGCUCACCAGGGCGUCGAUCGGUAGCUGGUCUGAGAGGACGAUCAGCCACACUGGGAUUGAGAACGGCCCAGACUCCUACGGGGGGCAGCAGUGAGGAAUUUUCCGCAAUGGACGCAAGUCUGACGGAGCAACGCCGCGUGUGGGAAGACGGCCUUCGGGUUGUAAACCACUUUUCUUGGGGACGAGACAGGACGGUACCCGAGGAAGAAGUCUCGGCUAACUACGUGCCAGCAGCCGCGGUAAUACGUAGGAGACGAGCGUUGUCCGGAGUUACUGGGCGUAAAGGGUGCGCAGGCGGCCAGGCGCGUCGCUAGUGAAAUCUCCCGGCUCAACUGGGAGGGUGGUAGCGAGACGGUCUGGCUUGAGGCUCGGUGAGGGGCGUGGAAUUCCGGGUGGAGCGGUGAAAUGCGUAGAGAUCCGGAGGAACACCAACGGCGAAGGCAGCGCCCUAGACGAGACCUGACGCUCAGGCACGAAAGCUCGGGGAGCGAACAGGAUUAGAUACCCUGGUAGUCCGAGCUGUAAACGAUGUCCACCAGGUGUUGGGGGUAUCGACCCCUCCAGCGCCGCAGCCAACGUGAUGAGUGGACCGCCUGGGGAGUACGGCCGCAAGGUUAAAACUUAAAGGAAUUGACGG
rnacentral:rRNA from 1 species